GCAGAGCGCAGCACAGUCGAAUCCUGUUCGGACACGUCAGAAGCGGGCAAACCAAGCGAGGCAGGAGCAACGGAAACACGCAGCGCUGGAAGGAGCAGCCUGCCUCCUUCAGCAAUAAACAAGUCGGGGAGCGCCUGCGUCGCCCGCCCCAGCCCGAUCACAUGCAGCCAGCCUGUGGCGUGUGCUGCAGGGGAAGGCUCGCAGCGAGCCACAAAACAGCAGCUCAGGCUGGGCCUCCCCUCGGGCACGGAGCAAGCUAGGCAGCCCCGUCCAUCCCACAAAACUCCUUCAUGGGAACAAGGCACACAGAGGAUUCAGAAACCUCAUGUCAGACACUAGUCCUGCAGGCAGUAGCCCAGAGAGGCCUCAGACUCAGAGAUCCUGUCUCACGGAGAUGCAAAGGUGCACCAACUGCAAGAUCACCACCCAAAACCAGUAGAUAACAUCAUGCUGUGUCCUCACUCAACAGCACAGCAGAGGCUGUUGUUUCCAAGUGGAGUCCACAUUCAUCUCAAGUGUACGAAAACAUCUGUCCUGCUGACUUAUUUAUCAUGCCAGGCCUGAAUUUGCACCAGUUGCAUUCUCUGGUGUUUCCUUGUCCUCACAAAGAGGAAAAAAAAACGUAGUUUAUGCUCCCAAAUGUAAUUGCAGUUGGUGGUGUUGAUUGGAGUGGAAAAUGAUGCUGAACUUUUUUGGAACUUGUACAGAAAAUUAAAUAUAUACAUAU